AUUGAACGCUGGCGGCAGGCUUAACACAUGCAAGCCGAGCGGGGUGAUGGUGCUUGCACUAUCACUUAGCGGCGGACGGGUGAGUAAUGCUUAGGAAUCUGCCUAUUAGUGGGGGACAACAUCUCGAAAGGGAUGCUAAUACCGCAUACGUCCUACGGGAGAAAGCAGGGGAUCACUUGUGACCGUGCGCUAAUAGAUGAGCCUAAGUCGGAUUAGCUAGUUGGUGGGGGAAAGGCCUACCAAGGCGACGAUCUGUAGCGGGUCUGAGAGGAUGAUCCGCCACACUGGGACUGAGACACGGCCCAGACUCCUACGGGAGGCAGCAGUGGGGAAUAUUGGACAAUGGGGGGAACCCUGAUCCAGCCAUGCCGCGUGUGUGAAGAAGGCCUUAUGGUUGUAAAGCACUUUAAGCGAGGAGGAGGCUCCUUUGGUUAAUACCCAAGAUGAGUGGACGUUACUCGCAGAAUAAGCACCGGCUAACUCUGUGCCAGCCGCCGCGGUAACAC
rnacentral:rRNA from 1 species